rnacentral:lncRNA from 1 species
UUCUACAAACGAUAAUGCAAAGUCGAUAUUUUAUCGAUAAAAUGAUUUUUCUGUACUUCUUAAGAAAUAAACGUCUAUCGAGUAUAUAUUACUAAAGCCUGAGAGAUUUUUUUCUUGUGAUGUUAUUUUAAUUUAACUUAAACUACAUUACGCUAUGUUUUAUGCAAUAAAACAGUAAAGAGGUUUUCUUUAGGUGAAUUUUUACCUAUGUCAUUCGCGCGUUUGUCAAAUUGACUGAUGUGUAUGUGUACAUAGAGUGAGGUUAAUUUUGGGUUUAUUAUUGUUGAAUAGAUAAGUUUAUUUUGGCAGAGAAGAGAAAACGAGGAUAAACCUUUCUUGCAGAAGAAAAAGACAAGCUAGUGAAAUUGCUGACGUCUCAUAGAGACACAAUAUUAAACAAAAAACGGAUGGGACCACGAACGAAGCCAAAAACAAAGCUUGGAUCCAGUCACAAAUAGUUUUAAUGCGACAGGAACCCUUUACAGUUUCAGGUGGUGCGAGAAAUUGGAAAGACGUGUAAAAACAUGCUGCGCCCAGCCCACCUCAAAUUGAAUUGGUGCAGGAGGAUGAUGAUAAUGUUUGGUACAUCAUAUGAGGACUAAUAUUAAAAUAUUUAUUUAC